rnacentral:tRNA from 1 species
AGCGGUGUGGCGCAGUUCGGUAGCGCGGCGGGUUCAUACCCCGUAGGUCGCCGGUUCGAAUCCGGCCACCGCCU